rnacentral:rRNA from 1 species
AGAGUUUGAUUCGUGGCUCAGGACGAACGCUGGCGGCAUGCCUAACACAUGCAAGUCGAACGGAGCUUGAGAGCUUGCUUUCAAGCUUAGUGGCGGACGGGUGAGUAACGCGUGAGCAACCUGCCUCUAAGUGGGGAAUAAUGUACUGAAAAGGACACUAAUACCGCAUAAAGUAUCGAAGCCGCAUGACAUUGAUACCAAAGAUUUAUCGCUUAGAGAUGGGCUCGCGUCCGAUUAGCCGGUUGGUGGGGUAACGGCCUACCAAAGCUACGAUCGGUAGCCGGACUGAGAGGUUGAACGGCCACAUUGGGACUGAGACACGGCCCAGACUCCUACGGGAGGCAGCAGUGGGGGAUAUUGCACAAUGGGGGAAACCCUGAUGCAAGCGACGCCGCGUGAAGGAGGAAGUGCUUCGGCAUGUAAACUUCUAUCAGCAGGGAAGAAGAUGACGGUACCUGACUAAGAAGCCCCGGCUAACUACGUGCCAGCCGCCGC